CCUGGAAACAAGAUGCUAAUAACCGGAUAACAAUAGAUGAUGCCUAUCAACUGUUUAAAAGAUGGUUCUGCUAUCACUCUUGGAUGGACCUGCGGUGCAUUAGCUAGUUGGUAGGGUAACGGCCUACCAAGGCGAUGAUGCAUAGCCGAGUUGAGAGACUGAUCGGCCACAUUGGGACUGAGACACGGCCCAAAACUCCUACGGGAGGCAGCAGCG
rnacentral:rRNA from 1 species